CUUGAAAAACUAUAUUUUGAAGAGUAUAAUGACAUUACAUUGCACAUGUUUACAAUGAAAAAUCAGUUUUAAUAUUGUGUGACAACAUAUUUUUAUAUUGCAUUAAACUACAGAGCAAUCAGUCUACAAAAAAACAUAGGAAAAAUUGUCUCACAUAUUCAUUGGUGAUACAUUUAGUAUAAAUGCCAUGGAUAAACUGUCAACUGAGUGGAAAACUAGCACUGCAUCUAAUCACAGCUGAGUAACAAAUACACCAAGUGAUAUGUGACUUUACACAUCCAUAUUUAU